rnacentral:rRNA from 1 species
AGCGAACGCUGGCGGCAGGCUUAACACAUGCAAGUCGAGCGGGCAUAGCAAUAUGUCAGCGGCAGACGGGUGAGUAACGCGUGGGAACGUACCUUUUGGUUCGGAACAACUGAGGGAAACUUCAGCUAAUACCGGAUAAGCCCUUACGGGGAAAGAUUUAUCGCCGAAAGAUCGGCCCGCGUCUGAUUAGCUAGUUGGUGAGGUAAUGGCUCACCAAGGCGACGAUCAGUAGCUGGUCUGAGAGGAUGAUCAGCCACAUUGGGACUGAGACACGGCCCAAACUCCUACGGGAGGCAGCAGUGGGGAAUAUUGGACAAUGGGCGCAAGCCUGAUCCAGCCAUGCCGCGUGAGUGAUGAAGGCCCUAGGGUUGUAAAGCUCUUUUGUGCGGGAAGAUAAUGACGGUACCGCAAGAAUAAGCCCCGGCUAACUUCGUGCCAGCAGCCGCCGCCG